rnacentral:rRNA from 1 species
GUGGGGAAUAUUGGACAAUGGGCGAAAGCCUGAUCCAGCCAUGCCGCGUGUGUGAAGAAGGUCUUCGGAUUGUAAAGCACUUUAAGUUGGGAGGAAGGGCAGUAAGUUAAUACCUUGCUGUUUUGACGUUACCGACAGAAUAAGCACCGGCUAACUUCGUGCCAGCAGCCGCGGUAAUACGAAGGGUGCAAGCGUUAAUCGGAAUUACUGGGCGUAAAGCGCGCGUAGGUGGUUUUGUAAGUUGGAGGUGAAAUCGCCGGGCUCAACCUGGGAACUGCCUCCAAAACUGCAUGACUAGAGUACGGUAGAGGGUAGUGGAAUUUCCUGUGUAGCGGUGAAAUGCGUAGAUAUAGGAAGGAACACCAGUGGCGAAGGCGACUACCUGGACUGAUACUGACACUGAGGUGCGAAAGCGUGGGGAGCAAACAGGAUUAGAUACCCCAGUAGUCC